CCUACGGGGGGCUGCAGUGAGGAAUAUUGGUCAAUGGGCGGAAGCCUGAACCAGCCAAGUAGCGUGCAGGAUGACGGCCCUACGGGUUGUAAACUGCUUUUAUACGGGAAUAACGCGCCUUACGUGUAGGGCUUUGCAUGUACCGUAUGAAUAAGGACCGGCUAAUUCCGUGCCAGCAGCCCCGGUAAUACGGAAGGUCCGGGCGUUAUCCGGAUUUAUUGGGUUAAAAGGGUGGGCAGGCGGUCUGUUAAGUCAGCGGUAAAAGCCCGGGGCUAAACCCCGGCCCGCAGUUGAAACUGGCAGUCUCGAGUUGGAGAGAAGUAUGCGGAAGGCGCGGUGUAGCGGUGAAAUGCAUAGAUAUCGCGCAGAACUCUGAUUGCGAAGGCAGCAUGCCGGCUCCACACUGACGCUGAGGCACGAAAGCGUGGGUAUCGAACAGGAUUAGAUACCCUAGUAGUC
rnacentral:rRNA from 1 species